GACGAACGCUGGCGGCGUGCUUAACACAUGCAAGUCGAACGGAAAGGCCCUGCUUUUGUGGGGUGCUCGAGUGGCGAACGGGUGAGUAACACGUGAGUAACCUGCCCUUGACUUUGGGAUAACUUCAGGAAACUGGGGCUAAUACCGGAUAGGAGCUCCUGCUGCAUGGUGGGGGUUGGAAAGUUUCGGCGGUUGGGGAUGGACUCGCGGCUUAUCAGCUUGUUGGUGGGGUAGUGGCUUACCAAGGCUUUGACGGGUAGCCGGCCUGAGAGGGUGACCGGCCACAUUGGGACUGAGAUACGGCCCAGACGCCUACGGGAGGCAGCAGUGGGGAAUAUUGCACAAUGGGCGGAAGCCUGAUGCAGCAACGCCGCGUGCGGGAUGACGGCCUUCGGGUUGUAAACCGCUUUCGCCUGUGACGAAGCGUGAGUGACGGUAAUGGGUAAAGAAGCACAGGCUAACUACGU
rnacentral:rRNA from 1 species